AACGAACGCUGGCAGCAUGCCUAACACAUGCAAGUCGAACGAAGGCUUCGGCCUUAGUGGCGCACGGGUGCGUAACGCGUGGGAAUCUGCCCCUCGGUUCGGAAUAACAGUUAGAAAUGACUGCUAAUACCGGAUGAUGACUUCGGUCCAAAGAUUUAUCGCCGAGGGAUGAGCCCGCGUAAGAUUAGGUAGUUGGUGGGGUAAAGGCCUACCAAGCCGACGAUCUUUAGCUGGUCUGAGAGGAUGAUCAGCCACACUGGGACUGAGACACGGCCCAGAAUCCUACGGGAGGCAGCAGUGGGGAAUAUUGGACAUGGGCGAAAGCCUGAUCCAGCAAUGCCGCGUGAGUGAUGAAGGCCUUAGGGUUGUAAAGCUCUUUUACCAGGGAUGAUAAUGACAGUACCUGGAGAAUAAGCUCCGGCUAACUCCGUGCCAGCAGCCGCCGUAA
rnacentral:rRNA from 1 species